AAAGAUUUCAAAGCGGCGGGUUUGGGUCCGGGUGGAGGGUCACAGCAGGCGUCCAAACACGUGUUAAAUCGACCUCUAAUUCUAUAUUUAUUCAUGAAAUUUCUUGUUUAACCUUCAUUUAUCUUCAGGGGGGAAACGUUGACAGUAGAAGUUCAUUUCGGGAAGGCAAUGUGCCGUCAACUCUCUGCGGUACUUUAUUCCUGUUAUAAAUGAACACCAGAAAAAUAUGAAUUUGUAGAAAUUUCUUUGUAUUUAUUUAGCCGUUUGUAGACACUAAAGGGAAGCGGUGCGUUUAUUUAUUGAGGACUUGAACAUGAGCGAGAAACAAGCGUCUGAAGACCGUAAAGUAACCCCGGAGGAGUCCGGGAACCAUGUGAGGGUAGAGGCGCGCGACGCGUCACCGCUCCCCGACGAUCAAAGCCCAGAGGACCGCCGCCACGCGCCGCAGGAGACCCGUCUGUACAAACGCCGCUGGAUCAUCGUGUUCCUCUUUAGCUCCUAUUCGCUGUGCAACUCCUAUCAAUGGAUCCAGUACGGAAUCAUCGGGAACAUCUUCGUGAGGUUCUACAACGUGGAAGAAUUCACCAUAGACUGGAUGUCCAUGAUCUACAUGCUGACCUACAUCCCGCUCAUCUUCCCGGUGACCUGGCUGCUGGACAAGAAGGGGCUCCGGGUAAUCGCGCUGGCGGGGACCGGGCUCAACUGCGUCGGGACGUGGAUCAAAGUGGUCAGCGUCCGACCCGACCUGUUCGGCGUCACCUUCCUGGGUCAGUUCUGCUGCUCUUUGGCGCAGGUCUUCAUCCUGGGGAUGCCGUCCAAAAUCGCCUCGGUUUGGUUCGGUUCGGAGGAGGUGUCAACCGCCUGCUCCAUCGGAGUCUUUGGGAAUCAGCUGGGUUGUGCCAUUGGUUUCCUCUUACCUCCAAUCCUGGUGCCUAACGUAAAUGACAUGGACGAGCUGGCGAACCACAUCCGAAACAUGUUCUACAUAACAGCAGGAGUGGCAACAUUUCUCUUCAUCCUUGUUGUCUUUGUUUUCCAAGAGCGUCCGAAGCUUCCUCCGACUCUGGCGCAGGCCUCAGCUCUCACAAUCCCAGCGGAGGAGUACUCCUAUAGGGCAUCUAUCCUCAGGUUGCUCCGAAACAAGCCCUUUGUUCUCCUCAUCAUCAGUUAUGGUCUGAAUGUGGGUUGUUAUUACGCUGUUGGAACUCUGCUGAACCGCAUGAUCCUCAAGCAUCACCCUGACCAAGAAGUGAACGCUGGGAGGAUUGGGCUCACCAUUGUCAUUGCAGGGAUGGUGGGCUCCCUCAUCUGUGGAGUCUGGCUGGACAGGAGUAAGACGUACAAGCAAACUACUCUUGCUGUGUACAUCAUGACGCUAGUGGGGAUGAUCAUAUACACUGCAACACUCGGCCAGAAAUACCUCUGGGUGGUGUUUAUCACUGCGGGAGCUCUUGGGUUCUUCAUGACAGGCUACCUACCUCUGGGUUUCGAGUUUGCAGCUGAAUUGACGUAUCCAGAGUGCGAGGGAACUUCCUCAGGGUUGCUGAACUGUUCAGCGCAGGUGUUUGGCAUCAUAUUUACCAUCUGCCAAGGGAAAAUCAUUGACAAGUUUGGCACCUUGGAAGGAAACAUUUUCCUCUGUGUGUUUCUACUAAUAGGCUCAAUAAUGACAGCCUUUAUCAAGUCUGAUCUGCGGAGACAGAAUGCAAACCAACUUGCCAAAGAAGAGGCGGAGAAGCGGAUGUUGGAAAUAGACUACGGAGCAACAGCGCAAAUCUCGUCCCAGCCACAAACUCCUUCCUCUCAAGUCUGAUCAAAUAAAAAAAUUUCUGUGUACACAAAAAAAAUCUUCUCAAAUUUUAGCUCAACACAGAAUCAGAAAGGAACCUACCAAUUACACUACAGAAAACUUGGACUCACCCACCAUCAUCAAAGAAGUCCAGUUUUAGGGAAUUACAUUUCCUAUCAACAUUUUAUAUGAAGAACUGAAAAUCAUAAAACUUCCAAAACAUUUUCCUUUUGAAUUGACCAAGACAAAGGGUUGACUGUCAGUAUUUUUUUUCACGUUAAUUACAAAUGCCUGGCUAAAAUAAAGCAACAAAGUUUGAUAUUUUGUUGAACCACUUUUAGAUUUGAUUGCAUCACAUAUUAGCUAUGGCAUUCAAGUGUAUAAUUAUGUCUAAACUGGCAAUGUGAUCUUUGGGAAGAGAACAGAAUGACUGUGAAAACCCAAAACUUUUUGUUGUUGUUGUUGCUGUUCUGCAGACAUCAUAAGUAUUUAAAUACUCAACUAAAUCCAUGACAACAUGUGCAGCUGCUACUCUGUUCAAUGUCACAGGACCGGUUUAAAAAACGGAUAAAUCCAAGUUGUAUCAGUGAAGGGACAGUAUUAACUUUAGUUUUAAAAGCUAAAUGGCUUAUAUCUAUGUAGUCCUUUUUUAAAGACACCCUGACCAUUCAAUGCACUUUAGACAGAGCCAAUUUCACCGGAUCACAUUCAUGUACCAACACAUAAUUCUGAUUGUUCCACAUUAGAACACAACAUGGUGAUAUAUGUAUUGGUCAAGGGAGACAAUGACAUGUAGCAAGAAUCAAUCCGAUAUUUGUUAGAGUUUCUACUGAGACACAGUCAUCAAUCUCCCUGUAGACAUGCAGAUCAUUUUCUGGAGCCCCUGGAAAGGCGCGGUAAAGGUCCUCCAUAUAAAUGAUUAUGAACAUUUGGGAGCCAUGUGAGGGUUCUUAGCUUCAGUUACCUUGAGUGAGAAUUAUUUUAUUUACCUCAUCCAGCUUUGUUUCUCACAGGUACAGCUAUUUUACAUCUUUUUAAUUGAAUUCCUCUUUAAGUCUGUUCUCUUGUAAACACUCUAGUGUUUUAAAUUCUCUACUAUUUUUUAAGAGUUAGAGAAAUUGGCCUCUAUCCCAUGAUAUCUAAAACUCAUUCAGAAAAAGAAAUGAUGGAUUACCAAUUAAAAGCACUUAAACGCUGAUUAACUUUAAACAGUAAAGGAUAAAUGACAAUCACACUUCAGCUAUCGUUUUCAAAACAAUAGCUGAACUUUAACAACUUUACUUGUUUAGUUUCCAUUUUAAGGUUGCAUUUCUAUAAAUUGUACUGUGAGAUUAUGUCCUGGAUAAAAAAAAAAUAUAAUUUAGGGCCUUUAACUUUUUUCAAAUGGUUUAAAUUUGUGUACAGUGAAGUAAACGAUAUAAUUUUGAGUCUUUUUUAUUUCCUAAAAGUCAUGCAUAUAAAUAAUUUGCAACUUUAGUUUUGAAUGCGCAGAGGUUAAUCUAAUUUAAAUUGAAAAGGACUAAUGCAUCAAUAGAAGAUUUGACAUAGAAAACAUCGAUUUUCCAGCAACAAAUAAAUAAAACAUUCACACCAAUGAUAAUUUUAGUUUGACUUAUCCUAACAUUCACAUUUUUUCAUUUUAUUCUGUUAAAAAGAUGUGCAUGUUUUGCUUUUUCUAAUGUAGGAAAUGUCCAUCAAGAAUAUUUUCAAGGUAAUUGCUGACAGUUUUAGGUGUGUAAAAUGUCAGAUUUUAU